GUGCUCUCUUUGGCAGCAAUAUAUACUAAAAUUCGAACGAUACAGAGAAGAUUAGAAUGACCCCUGCUCAAGGAUGACACGCAAAUUAGUGAAACAUUCCAUAUUUUU